rnacentral:rRNA from 1 species
AAUAGAUACCCUGGUAGUCCACGCCGUAAACGAUGGAUACUAGCUGUUGGAGGUAUCGACCCCUUCAGUAGCGAAGCUAACGCGUUAAGUAUCCCGCCUGUGGAGUACGGUCGCAAGACUAAAACAUAAAGGAAUUGACGGGGACCCGCACAAGCGGUGGAUCGUGUUCUUUAAUUCGAUGAUAAACGAAGAACCUUACCAGGGCUUGACAUCCCAAGAAGGCUUCCGAAAGGAAACUGUGCCGUAAGGAACUUGGUGACAGGUGAUGCAUGGCCGUCGUCAGCUCGUGUCGUGAGAUGUUUGGUUAAGUCCAUCAACGAGCGCAACCCUUGCAACUAGUUGUAUUUUUCUAGUUGGACUGCCCCGGUAACGGGGAGGAAGGAGGGGAUGAUGUCAGGUCAGUAUUUCCCUUACGUCCUGGGCUAGAAACACGAUACAAUGGCUAGUACAAUGCGCAGCGAAGCCGCGAGGUGAAGCAAAUCGCAUCAAAGCUAGUCCCAGUUCGGAUUGGAGGCUGAAACUCGCCUCCAUGAAGUCGGAAUCGCU